GAAAAAGUGGUGGCUUCAGAAACUCAAAAAUUCUUUGCAUUUUGUUAUUCUGGAAGAAUCUACUUUAUCAACACACCCACUAGCAGAGGUUCGCAGUAGCUCUGGUAAGUGCGCUGAGGUCCUAGAUUCACUUAGGAUCAGAUGCUUUGGAGAAUGACUUACUCCCCAUUGAGACUGUGAAUCUCUCCUUUCGGGACUACAGGAGGCCCUGAUUCUCCUCACACAAGUGAGGCCUCAUAGAAAGCAUCUUGCAGUUUCUCAGGGUGCAGUCAUGCAGGGCCCGCCUGCUUCCUAUUCUGUGGGCUCAGAAGCCACUCCCCACCCCAAGCCGAUGCAGAGAAACAAAAUGAGGUCUCGAAUGUGCUAAUAAUUUUCACAGCUGAGAAGUAAAUCAGAUGACUUUUUUCCCCCAGAUGAAGUUCAUGUGGUGGUGACAAUUUCCUGUCCCAGAAUGAAUUACAAGGGAAGUAGCUUCUCUUCUGUCUGUGACUGAGAACUUACACAGGCCUCAAGACGAAACUUAGGUGAUGAAAGGGAUAAAUGCAUCUCGGAUCUCAGACAAGGGAUACGGACUCCUCCAUUCCUUCCACCUGAUUGUUGAUCUGAUGUCCCAGGAUGAAGUCAAACAGGUCUAUAAAGCUUCACCUACCUCUCUG